UGUAGGAGCCGGCUUGCUGGCGAUGGCGCCAUCAGACAUUGCGGUGAGUUCAACAACGCCAUCGCCAGCAAGCCGGCUCCUACA
rnacentral:misc_RNA from 1 species